UUAGAGUUUGAUCCUGGCUCAGGACGAACGCUGGCGGCGCGCCUAACACAUGCAAGUCGAACGAGCGAGAGAGAGCUUGCUUUCUCGAGCGAGUGGCGAACGGGUGAGUAACGCGUGAGGAACCUGCCUCAAAGAGGGGGACAACAGUUGGAAACGACUGCUAAUACCGCAUAAGCCCACGGCUCGGCAUCGAGCAGAGGGAAAAGGAGCAAUCCGCUUUGAGAUGGCCUCGCGUCCGAUUAGCUAGUUGGUGAGGUAACGGCCCACCCAGGCGACGAUCGGUAGCCGGACUGAGAGGUUGAACGGCCACAUUGGGACUGAGACACGGCCCAGACUCCUACGGGAGGCAGCAGUGGGGAAUAUUGCACAAUGGGGGAAACCCUGAUGCAGCGACGCCGCGUGGAGGAAGAAGGUCUUCGGAUUGUAAACUCCUGUUGUUGAGGAAGAUAAUGACGGUACUCAACAAGGAAGUGACGGCUAACUACGUGCCAGCAGCCGCGGUAAAACGUAGGUCACAAGCGUUGUCCGGAAUUACUGGGUGUAAAGGGAGCGCAGGCGGGAAGACAAGUUGGAAGUGAAAUCCAUGGGCUCAACCCAUGAACUGCUUUCAAAACUGUUUUUCUUGAGUAGUGCAGAGGUAGGCGGAAUUCCCGGUGUAGCGGUGGAAUGCGUAGAUAUCGGGAGGAACACCAGUGGCGAAGGCGGCCUACUGGGCACCAACUGACGCUGAGGCUCGAAAGUGUGGGUAGCAAACAGGAUUAGAUACCCUGGUAGUCCACACUGUAAACGAUGAUUACUAGGUGUUGGAGGAUUGACCCCUUCAGUGCCGCAGUUAACACAAUAAGUAAUCCACCUGGGGAGUACGACCGCAAGGUUGAAACUCAAAGGAAUUGACGGGGGCCCGCACAAGCAGUGGAGUAUGUGGUUUAAUUCGACGCAACGCGAAGAACCUUACCAAGUCUUGACAUCCUGCGACGGUUCUGGAAACAGAACUUUCCUUCGGGACGCAGAGACAGGUGGUGCAUGGUUGUCGUCAGCUCGUGUCGUGAGAUGUUGGGUUAAGUCCCGCAACGAGCGCAACCCUUAUGGUCAGUUACUACGCAAGAGGACUCUGGCCAGACUGCCGUUGACAAAACGGAGGAAGGUGGGGAUGACGUCAAAUCAUCAUGCCCUUUAUGACUUGGGCUACACACGUACUACAAUGGCGUUAAACAAAGAGAAGCAAGACCGCGAGGUGGAGCAAAACUCAGAAACAACGUCCCAGUUCGGACUGCAGGCUGCAACUCGCCUGCACGAAGUCGGAAUUGCUAGUAAUCGCAGAUCAGCAUGCUGCGGUGAAUACGUUCCCGGGCCUUGCACACACCGCCCGUCA
rnacentral:rRNA from 1 species